UUACCUAGUUUGACUUCUAAUUGUCACCUUUUAUAUUCUAGUACAAUGGACAUUGAUCUGUGUAUUACUUAUUUUAUUCUAGGCACAGAACUAAAAUUAAAUGAAUUCAAAGAGUAGCCAUAUUGAUAAUAAUCUUUGAGGAUGGUCUUAAUUCUUAAAAGAAACACUUUGAUAUUUAUCACUUCAAAAUCUGCCAAAACAGAACUUGGUGUUAAUUUUUUGUGAAAUCUUUGAACCAAACCCAAAUCUUCAUUCAUACAAAAUAUUCUGAGAACAUCAAUAUCAUAUUGAGAAUUUAUACCUCAUUAAACAUACAAUUACAGAGCUGCAGUCACAGUAAUUUUUUAAAAGGUGGGGGAAAGGGAGUAUGUAAAACUGAACUGAAUUCAAAUUACAUACCUGUCCCUCACUUAAUGUCUUUUAUUACUGAAAAAAAAGCUGUCACUAAGUAAAAACCUUUAAGUGAAAUAUCUUCCAUUAAUUUUAAUGGGGCACAUUAUAUUAUAUCCUAGAUACCAAAAAUGUAUCGAUUGAAUAAUAACAAGUUUACAAAAAAUACACAAUAUAGAUUGUGCAUAAAAUAUAUUGUAAACAAGGUUUAUUGUACUUGCCAAGGAAGAAAAUUUGAUAGUCAGUGAUGGUUGGUGGAGGAGAGGAAUAAAGAAAUCAUUCUUUGGAAGGUGAGUUCUGCUUUCUGUAUCAUUUCCCCCCACCAAUCUUCCACUCUUUUGGGGACUAAUGGUUAUCUGGCAUUCAAACUCCACUUAAAAUUAAGUUAUAACACAAAAAAAACCUUUAGGAAACUUCAAAACACAUGGAAAUGGCAUCUACAUAUAACAGACAAGAGUCCUAAAAGAUAUAACUUUUUCAUUCCUCUCAUUUCACAUACUUAUGCAAAGCAAAAUUACCUGAUGUACAGUUCAAGUGUGUUCAAAAUGAUAAUCUCUGUGUAGCGUCAAGUAAAUUAUUAUGCUUUUGUCUGAGCUGGAAAUUCCUAAAUAUUGUUCUUUAUUGCAUACUUGUUUAGUAUAUUUUAGAGUAGGAAGAGUCUUUAUACCCAAGGAGAAAAAAAAAGGUGAUUGCCUGAACAAUGAUAUAAUCAUUUAAAAGAUGUUAUGGUAGAAAGUUAUUACUGAACAGCUCUUAUGGGGGAAGACUGUAUUUAAACAUUUUUGGCAUUACUAAUCUCAGUACUAAUAAAUUUUAUAAUUAAUAACAACAUUCCAAGGCACUACACAGGAUAAGGAAAAAAAUGAAUUAUAUCAAACCUGCCUUCAUUUUUCAAUAUUCUACUCUCUAACUGAAGAUGAGAAAAAAAGAUUUCAUUAUACAAAUAAAUUCUUAAAAGGAGAAAAACCUUAUCAGGAUAACUUCAAAAAGCACCCAAAGUAUUACUAAACCUAAGUAGCUCAUACCUCUAGGAAAUGUAAAAUUACCCAACUUCAAGACUUAAUAUGAAGCUACAGUAGGGACUUCACUGUCAGUCCAGUGGUUAAGACUCC